rnacentral:lncRNA from 1 species
CGGAGUUAGCGACAGGGAGGGAUGCGCGCCUGGGUGUAGUUGUGGGGGAGGAAGUGGCUAGCUCAGGGCUUCAGGGGACAGACAGGGAGAGAUGACUGAGUUAGAUGAGACGAGGGGGCGGGCUGGGGGUGCGAGAAGGAAGCUUGGCAAGGAGACUAGGUCUAGGGGGACCACAGUGGGGCAGGCUGCAUGGAAAAUAUCCGCAGGGUCCCCCAGGCAGAACAGCCACGCUCCAGGCCAGGCUGUCCCUACUGCCUGGUGGAGGGGGAACUUGACCUCUGGGAGGGCGCCGCUCUUGCAUAGCUGAGCGAGCCCGGGUGCGCUGGUCUGUGUGGAAGGAGGAAGGCAGGGAGAGGUAGAAGGGGUGGAGGAGUCAGGAGGAAUAGGCCGCAGCAGCCCUGGAAAUGAUCAGGAAGGCAGGCAGUGGGUGCAGGGCUGCAGGAGGGCCGGGAGGGCUAAUCUUCAACUUGUCCAUGCCAGCAGCCCCUUUUUUUCCAGACCAAGGGCUGUGAACCCGCCUGGGGAUGAGGCCUGGUCUUGUGGAACUGAACUUAGCUCGACGGGGCUGACCGCUCUGGCCCAGGGUGGUAUGUAAUUUUCGCUCGGCCUGGGACGGGGCCCAGGCCGGGCCCAGCCUGGUGGAGCGUCCAGGUCUGGGUGCGAAGCCAGGCCCCUGGGCGGAGGUGAGGGGUGGUCUGAGGAGUGAUGUGGAGUUAAGGCGCCAUCCUCACCGGUGACUGGUGCGGCACCUAGCAUGUUUGACAGGCGGGGACUGCGAGGCACGCUGCUCGGGUGUUGGGGACAACAUUGACCAACGCUUUAUUUUCCAGGUGGCAGUGCUCCUUUUGGACUUUUCUCUAGGUUUGGCGCUAAACUCUUCUUGUGAGCUCACUCCACCCCUUCUUCCUCCCUUUAACUUAUCCAUUCACUUAAAACAUUACCUGGUCAUCUGGUAAGCCCGGGACAGUAAGCCGAGUGGCUGUUGGAGUCGGUAUUGUUGGUAAUGGUGGAGGAAGAGAGGCCUUCCCGCUGAGGCUGGGGUGGGGCGGAUCGGUGUUGCUUGCCUGCAGAGAGGGUGGGGAGUGAAUGUGCACCCUUGGGUGGGCCUGCAGCCAUCCAGCUGAAAGUUACAAAAAUGCUUCAUGGACCGUGGUUUGUUACUAUAGUGUUCCUCAUGGCGAGCAGAUGGAACCGGGAGACAUGGAGUCCCUGGCCAGUGUGAGUCCUAGCAUUGCAGGAGGGGAGACCCUGGAGGAGAGAGCCCGCCUCAAUUGAUGCCUGCAGAUUGAAUUUCCAGAGGCUUAGGAGGAGGAAGUUCUCCAAUGUUCUGUUUCCAGGCCUUGCUCAGGAAGCCCUGUAUUCAGGAGGCUACCAUUUAAAGUUUGCAGAUGAGCUUAUGGGGGGCAAUCUUAAAAAGUCCACAGCAGAUGCAUCCGGCUCGAGGGGCCAUCAGCUUUGAAUAAAUGCUUGUUCCAGAGCCCAUGAAUGCCAGCAGGCACCCCUCCUUUCCUGGGGUAAAGGUUUUCAGAUGCUGCAUCUUCUAAAUUGAGCCUCCGGUCAUACUAGUUUUGUGCUUGGAACCUUGCUUCAAGAAGAUCCCUAAGCUGUAGAACAUUUUAACGUUGAUGCCACAACGCAGAUUGAUGCCUUGUAGAUGGAGCUUGCAGAUGGAGCCCCGUGACCUCUCACCUACCCACCUGUUUGCCUGCCUUCUUGUGCGUUUCUCGGAGAAGUUCUUAGCCUGAUGAAAUAACUUGGGGCGUUGAAGAGCUGUUUAAUUUUAAAUGCCUUAGACUGGGGAUAUAUUAGAGGAAGCAGAUUGUCAAAUUAAGGGUGUCAUUGUGUUGUGCUAAACGCUGGGAGGGUACAAGUUGGUCAUUCCUAAAUCUGUGUGUGAGAAAUGGCAGGUCUAGUUUGGGCAUUGUGAUUGCAUUGCAGAUUACUAGGAGAAGGGAAUGGUGGGUACACCGGUAGUGCUCUUUUGUUCUUGCUUCGUUUUUUUAAACUUGAACUUUACUUCGUUAGAUUUCAUAAUACUUUCUUGGCAUUCUAGUAAGAGGACCCUGAGGUGGGAGUUGUGGGGGACGGGGAGAAGGGGACAGCUUGGCACCGGUCCCGUGGGCGUUGCAGUGUGGGGGAUGGGGGUAUGCAGCUUGGCACUGGUACUGGGAGGGAUGAGGGUGAAGAAGGGGAGAGGGUUGGUUAGAGAUACAGUGUGGGUGGUGGGGGUGGUAGGAAAUGCAGGUUGAAGGGAAUUCUCUGGGGCUUUGGGGAAUUUAGUGCGUGGGUGAGCCAAGAAAAUACUAAUUAAUAAUAGUAAGUUGUUAGUGUUGGUUAAGUUGUUGCUUGGAAGUGAGAAGUUGCUUAGAAACUUUCCAAAGUGCUUAGAACUUUAAGUGCAAACAGACAAACUAACAAACAAAAAUUGUUUUGCUUUGCUACAAGGUGGGGAAGACUGAAGAAGUGUUAACUGAAAACAGGUGACACAGAGUCACCAGUUUUCCGAGAACCAAAGGGAGGGGUGUGUGAUGCCAUCUCACAGGCAGGGGAAAUGUCUUUACCAGCUUCCUCCUGGUGGCCAAGACAGCCUGUUUCAGAGGGUUGUUUUGUUUGGGGUGUGGGUGUUAUCAAGUGAAUUAGUCACUUGAAAGAUGGGCGUCAGACUUGCAUACGCAGCAGAUCAGCAUCCUUCGCUGCCCCUUAGCAACUUAGGUGGUUGAUUUGAAACUGUGAAGGUGUGAUUUUUUCAGGAGCUGGAAGUCUUAGAAAAGCCUUGUAAAUGCCUAUAUUGUGGGCUUUUAACGUAUUUAAGGGACCACUUAAGACGAGAUUAGAUGGGCUCUUCUGGAUUUGUUCCUCAUUUGUCACAGGUGUCUUGUGAUUGAAAAUCAUGAGCGAAGUGAAAUUGCAUUGAAUUUCAAGGGAAUUUAGUAUGUAAAUCGUGCCUUAGAAACACAUCUGUUGUCUUUUCUGUGUUUGGUCGAUAUUAAUAAUGGCAAAAUUUUUGCCUAUCUAGUAUCUUCAAAUUGUAGUCUUUGUAACAACCAAAUAACCUUUUGUGGUCACUGUAAAAUUAAUAUUUGGUAGACAGAAUCCAUGUACCUUUGCUAAGGUUAGAAUGAAUAAUUUAUUGUAUUUUUAAUUUGAAUGUUUGUGCUUUUUAAAUGAGCCAAGACUAGAGGGGAAACUAUCACCUAAAAUCAGUUUGGAAAACAAGACCUAAAAAGGGAAGGGGAUGGGGAUUGUGGGGAGAGAGUGGGCGAGGUGCCUUUACUACAUGUGUGAUCUGAAAACCCUGCUUGGUUCUGAGCUGCGUCUAUUGAAUUGGUAAAGUAAUACCAAUGGCUUUUUAUCAUUUCCUUCUUCCCUUUAAGUUUCACUUGAAAUUUUAAAAAUCAUGGUUAUUUUUAUCGUUGGGAUCUUUCUGUCUUCUGGGUUCCAUUUUUUAAAUGUUUAAAAAUAUGUUGACAUGGUAGUUCAGUUCUUAACCAAUGACUUGGGGAUGAUGCAAACAAUUACUGUCGUUGGGAUUUAGAGUGUAUUAGUCACGCAUGUAUGGGGAAGUAGUCUCGGGUAUGCUGUUGUGAAAUUGAAACUGUAAAAGUAGAUGGUUGAAAGUACUGGUAUGUUGCUCUGUAUGGUAAGAACUAAUUCUGUUACGUCAUGUACAUAAUUACUAAUCACUUUUCUUCCCCUUUACAGCACAAAUAAAGUUUGAGUUCUAAACUCAUUAGAA